AUAAAAACAAUGAAUAGGCUAGUAAAUGAUUGUCUAUGCGUGAGAGAGUGGAAUUCACCGGCUGAAAGAUUCCAUCGUGUUAGCAUUAUUGAACCUACCUGUGAGUCGUUAGAUAAAAGCUAACCGCAGCUAAUUCUGCGUUAUCAAUGGAAAGUGGACAUUUAAUUUAAGUCAAUUAAGGUGGUACCGCGGAUAUAAACCUCAAUCCGUCCUUUUU
rnacentral:ncRNA from 1 species